UUGGCCGGGCGACGGUUGUCCCGGUUUAAGCGUGUAGGUGUGUGUUCCAGGUAAAUCCGGUUCACUUUAACACUGAGGCGUGACGACGAGGCACUACGGUGCUGAAGCAACAAAUGCCCUGCUUCCAGGAAAAGCCUCUAAGCAUCAGGUAACAUCAAAUCGUACCCCAAACCGACACAGGUGGUCAGGUAGAGAAUACCAAGGCGCUUGAGAGAACUCGGGUGAAGGAACUAGGCAAAAUGGUGCCGUAACUUCGGGAGAAGGCACGCUGACACGUAGGUGAAGUGAUUUACUCAUGGAGCUGAAGUCAGUCGAAGAUACCAGCUGGCUGCAACUGUUUAUUAAAAACACAGCACUGUGCAAACACGAAAGUGGACGUAUACGGUGUGACGCCUGCCCGGUGCCGGAAGGUUAAUUGAUGGGGUCAGCGCAAGCGAAGCUCCUGAUCGAAGCCCCGGUAAACGGCGGCCGUAACUAUAACGGUCCUAAGGUAGCGAAAUUCCUUGUCGGGUAAGUUCCGACCUGCACGAAUGGCGUAAUGAUGGCCAGGCUGUCUCCACCCGAGACUCAGUGAAAUUGAACUCGCUGUGAAGAUGCAGUGUACCCGCGGCAAGACGGAAAGACCCCGUGAACCUUUACUAUAGCUUGACACUGAACAUUGAGCCUUGAUGUGUAGGAUAGGUGGGAGGCUUUGAAGUGUGGACGCCAGUCUGCAUGGAGCCGACCUUGAAAUACCACCCUUUAAUGUUUGAUGUUCUAACGUGGACCCGUUACCCGGGUUGCGGACAGUGUCUGGUGGGUAGUUUGACUGGGGCGGUCUCCUCCUAAAGAGUAACGGAGGAGCACGAAGGUUGGCUAAUCCUGGUCGGACAUCAGGAGGUUAGUGCAAUGGCAUAAGCCAGCUUGACUGCGAGCGUGACGGCGCGAGCAGGUGCGAAAGCAGGUCAUAGUGAUCCGGUGGUUCUGAAUGGAAGGGCCAUCGCUCAACGGAUAAAAGGUACUCCGGGGAUAACAGGCUGAUACCGCCCAAGAGUUCAUAUCGACGGCGGUGUUUGGCACCUCGAUGUCGGCUCAUCACAUCCUGGGGCUGAAGUAGGUCCCAAGGGUAUGGCUGUUCGCCAUUUAAAGUGGUACGCGAGCUGGGUUUAGAACGUCGUGAGACAGUUCGGUCCCUAUCUGCCGUGGGCGCUGGAGAACUGAGGGGGGCUGCUCCUAGUACGAGAGGACCGGAGUGGACGCAUCACUGGUGUUCGGGUUGUCAUGCCAAUGGCACUGCCCGGUAGCUAAAUGCGGAAGAGAUAAGUGCUGAAAGCAUCUAAGCACGAAACUUGCCCCGAGAUGAGUUCUCCCUGAGACUUAG
rnacentral:rRNA from 1 species